rnacentral:rRNA from 1 species
UACGAAGGGGGCGAGCGUUGUUCGGAAUUACUGGGCGUAAAGGGCGCGCAGGCGGUCCUUCAAGUCAGAUGUGAAAGCCCCGGCUCAACCUGGGAACUGCAUUUGAGACUGGAGGACUUGAGGACGGGAGAGGAGAGUGGAAUUCCGAGUGUAGAGGUGAAAAUUCGUAGAUAUUCGGAAGAACACCAGUGGCGAAGGCGGACUUACUGGACAACAUAUUGACGCUGAGGUGCGAAA